rnacentral:misc_RNA from 1 species
AUGGCUAAAGUUUCAACAGUUGAGCCAUCGCCAAUCCGGAGUCUAACAUCUCGAACAUGUAAGCUGCUACUGUUUGCUAGUUCCUGCAUAUCAUAAGAAAUGUGAGAACUGGCACCAGUAUCUAAAACUCAAGCUGUAGAUGAAUUAUGAGCAUCAUCAGCAUCUAAAUAAUAAGAUAUAAACAUACAAGAUAUAUCUCAUAUAAAUACUUUGGG